rnacentral:rRNA from 1 species
GGUGAACGCUGGCGGCGUGCCUAAUACAUGCAAGUCGAGCGAACAGACGAGGAGCUUGCUCCUCUGACGUUAGUGGUGGACGGGUGAGUAACACGUGGAUAACCUACCUAUAAGACUGGGAUAACUUCGGGAAACCGGAGCUAAUACCGGAUAAUAUAUUGAACCGCAUGGUUCAAUAGUGAAAGACGGUUUUGCUGUCACUUAUAGAUGGAUCCGCGCCGCAUUAGCUAGUUGGUAAGGUAACGGCUUACCAAGGCAACGAUGCGUAGCCGACCUGAGAGGGUGAUCGGCCACACUGGAACUGAGACACGGUCCAGACUCCUACGGGAGGCAGCAGUAGGGAAUCUUCCGCAAAGGGCGAAAGCCUGACGGAGCAACGCCGCGUGAGUGAUGAAGGUCUUCGGAUCGUAAAACUCUGUUAUUAGGGAAGAACAAAUGUGUAAGUAACUAUGCACGUCUUGACGGUACCUAAUCAGAAAGCCACGGCUAACUACGUG